rnacentral:rRNA from 1 species
UUUUUCCUACGGGGCGCAGCAGUGGGGGAUAUUGCACAAUGGGGGGAACCCUGAUGCAGCGACGCCGCGUGGGUGAAGGAGCGUUUCGGCGCGUAAAGCCCUCUCGGCAGGGAAGAAGAUGACGGUACCUGACCAAGAAGCCCCGGCUAACUACGUGCCAGCAGCCGCGGGAAUACGUAGGGGGCAAGCGUUAUCCGGAUUUACUGGGUGUAAAGGGGGCGCAGACGGCAAUGCAAGCCAGGAGGGAAAGCCCGGGGCCCAAACCC